AGUGAACGCUGGCGGUAGGCCUAACACAUGCAAGUCGAACGGCAGCACAGUAAGAGCUUGCUCUUACGGGUGGCGAGUGGCGGACGGGUGAGGAAUACAUCGGAAUCUACUUUUUCGUGGGGGAUAACGUAGGGAAACUUACGCUAAUACCGCAUACGACCUACGGGUGAAAGCAGGGGAUCUUCGGACCUUGCGCGAUUGAAUGAGCCGAUGUCGGAUUAGCUAGUUGACGGGGUAAAGGCCCACCAAGGCGACGAUCCGUAGCUGGUCUGAGAGGAUGAUCAGCCACACUGGAACGGAGACACGGUCCAGACUCCUGCGGGAGGCAGCAGUGGGGAAUAGUGGACAGUGGGCGCAAGCCUGAUCCAGCCAUACCGCGUGGGUGAAGAAGGCCUUCGGGUUGUAAAGCCCUUUUGUUGGGAAAGAAAAGCAGCAGGUUAAUACCCCGCUGUUCUGACGGUACCCAAAGAAUAAGCACCGGCUAACUUCGUG
rnacentral:rRNA from 1 species